UACGAAGGGGGCUAGCGUUGUUCGGAUUACUGGGCGUAAAGCGCACGUAGGCGGAUCUUUAAGUCAGAGGUGAAAUCCCAAGCUCAACCUUGGAACUGCCUUUGGAUACUGGGGAUCGCGAGUCCGGGAGAGGUGAGUGGGAACUGCGAGUGUAAGAGGUGAAAUUCGUAGAUAUUCGCCAAGAACACCCGUGGCUAAGGCGGCUCUCUAGUACGGUACUGACGCUGAGACGCGAAAGCGUGGGGAGCGAACAGG
rnacentral:rRNA from 1 species